rnacentral:rRNA from 1 species
UACGUAGGGGGCUAGCGUUGUCCGGAAUCAUUGGGCGUAAAGAGCGCGUAGGCGGCCCGAUAAGUCCGUUGUAAAAGUCGAAGGCUCAACCUCGAAUGCCGAUGGAUACUGUCGGGCUAGAGUCCGGAAGAGGCGAAGUGGAAUUCCUGGUGUAGCGGUGGAAUGCGCAGAUAUCAGGAGGAACACCGGUGGCGAAGGCGGAUCUCUGGGCCUUACCUGACGCUGAGGCGCGAAAGCUAGGGGAGCGAACAGG